GAUGAACGCUGGCGGCGUGCUUAACACAUGCAAGUCGAACGGAAAGGCCCAAGCUUGCUUGGGUCCUCGAGUGGCGAACGGGUGAGUAACACGUGGGUGAUCUGCCCUUCACUUCGGGAUAAGCCUGGGAAACUGGGUCUAAUACCGGAUAGGACCACCUCUUGGAUGUUGUGGUGGACAGUUUUUUGGGUGUGGGUUGAGCUCGCGGCCUGUCGGCUUGUUGGUGGGGUAAUGGCCUACCAACGCGUUGACGGGUAGCCGGUCUGUGAGAGUGUAGCGCCCGGUUGGGACUAAGGUGAGGCCCAGGCUCCCGAUGGAGGCAGUGGAGGGGUAGGUGACACAAGGGGCGCAACCCCGAUUCAGGGACGCCGCGUGGGGGAUGACGGCGUUCGGGUUGUUAGCUCCUUUCGUGAGGGAAGAGGCGUUUUGUGACGGUACCUGGAGAAGAAGCACCGGCUAACUACGUG
rnacentral:rRNA from 1 species